GGGCCCUUCCCUUUUAAAUCAACCGAGCCUAGUCCAAAUUUGGACCAUACUCGGCCAACCGCUUAUUUCUUCUCUGUUAUCGCGUCAUUGGCCAAAAAUGGAAAAGUAGCAGUGUUCAAUUGUUUUGUUACAGUUCUUCCCAACCAAAUUAGGCAAAGCAAUUAAUUAUUUGCCCUCUUUCCACCAUAUCUAGGCCAAACGAGGUAUAUCUUCAUAUUUUUUUCUUACUUUUCUGCAGAAAUGGUCAACCUAGUGGGAUUUGUCUCUUUUCAAUAUGAACAAGCGAUUCUUAUUGGUUCAUUGAGUUUGGGCGGGAUUCAAGGUGAAUCCCCAAUGAAAUUCAGUGUCCCACAUCAAUUCAUAAGCAAAAGACUGGCAUUUUGGAGGGGUUCUAUAUAAAGAACCCCACCCUUCACAUUCACACACACAAGUCUCAAUUCAGAGCAAAAUACCUAAUUUAACUUGGAAUUUAGCAGUUUUGCUGAAACCUUUAACUAAUUAUGUUUAAGUCUAAAAAGUUUACUUUCUUUCUUUGUGGCUGAAUUCGGAUGAGGAACAAAGGCUUCAAUUCCAAUCUCGACUAGAGGCUGCACUUGAAAAAGGUACAGAUUUACAGUACAACGCCUCUGCUCAUUAGGAUCUGCACGUACCAGCUUAUUGGUGAGCCCCAUCUCAUUCGGGGUUUAGGCAUUGUCUUUCUUUAUUUAGUUUUGCAUCUAAAGGUAUGCUGGGGGCCUUGUCCGAGCAAGUACGUUACGUGUUUCAGACUCAUGUUAGAGGUUUCAUAGACAAGACAAGUGUCAUGUUAGACUUCCAGAGUUGGUUAGCCGGUUUGGCUCAUUUAUGAUAUUUCCCACAUUCAUGACUUAAUCAAGUACUUAUGUUUAAUAUUA